rnacentral:tRNA from 1 species
GCCGGAGUGGCUUAGCGGUUAAAGCGCUGCGCUCAUAUCGCAGAGAUCGUGGGUUCGAUUCCCACCUCCGGCA